rnacentral:tRNA from 1 species
GAAAAAAUAGCUUAUAUUAAAGUACUACACUGAAGAUGUAUUGAAGGUCAUUACCUUUUUUCG